rnacentral:misc_RNA from 1 species
GAUGAAGAACGUAGCGAAAUGCGAUAAGUAAUGUGAAUUGCAGAAUUCAGUGAAUCAUCGAAUCUUUGAACGCACCUUGCACCCUUUGGCAUUCCGAAGGGUAUGCUCGUUUGAGUGUCAUUGUACUCUCACACUUCUGAUCCUUUGGAUUGGGAGCGGUGGACUUGGGUGUUGCUGCUUUACUGUGGCUCACCUCAAAUGCAUUCGUGCAACUCUUGGUUGGACAUAGUACGGCGUGAUAAGUAUCUUCGCCGGCACCUCGCAAGCGGGUGGCUGAUCAGGAGCUCUGUGCUUUCCAACUGUCUUCAGACAACAACUGACAACUUGACCUCAAAUCGAGUAGGACCACCCGCUGAACUUAAGCAUAUCAAUAAGCGGAGGA